UUGAGAGGAGCUGUCCUUAGUACGAGAGGACCGGGAUGGACACACCGCUGGUGUACCAGUUGUUCCGCCAGGAGCAUAGCUGGGUAGCUACGUGUGGACGGGAUAAGCGCUGAAAGCAUCUAAGCGUGAAGCCCCCCUCAAGAUGAGAUUUCCCAUUACGUUAAGUAAGUAAGACCCCUUAGAGAUGAUGAGGUUGAUAGGUCUCGGGUGGAAGCGUGGCGACACGUGGAGCUGAGAGAUACUAAUCGGUCGAGGGCUUAUCCAAAA
rnacentral:rRNA from 1 species